rnacentral:rRNA from 1 species
AUGUGAUCGUCUCUCGCAUAUCAAUAAGCGGAGGAAAAGAAACUAACAAGGAUUCCCCUAGUAACGGCGAGUGAAGCGGGAAGAGCUCAAAUUUGAAAUCUUAAAGGGUUUCCCUUUACGAAUUGUAGUUUAAAGAAGUGUUUUCUGUUGAGGUUUUGGUAAAAGUUCUUUGGAAUAGGACAUCAUAGAGGGUGAGAAUCCCGUAUUUGACCUUUACUUUCAACUUUGUGAUACACUUUCAAAGAGUCGGAUUGUUUGGGAAUGCAGUCCAAAAUGGGUGGUAAAUUUCAUCUAAAGCUAAAUAUUGGCGAGAGACCGAUAGCGAACAAGUACCGUGAGGGAAAGAUGAAAAGAACUUUGAAAAGAGAGUUAAACAGUACGUGAAAUUGUCAAAAGGGAAGCGUUUGACACCAGUGUUGUUUUUCUGAAAAUCAAUUAAAGAACUGUUUAUGCUAAGCUGUUUAGACUUUAUCAGCUAUCUGUUUAGUUUUGAGCUUUUCUCUAAUGCACUUUUCAGUUAACAAGUCAACAUCAAUUUCUUUUGCUGUAAAAAAGCUUGAGGAAGGUGGCUUGAGAUUCGUCUUAAGUGUUUAUAGCCUCUUGCCUAUGCAGUCGGAGAGAUUGAGGUCUGCAGCGUAGAUCCUUCGGGGCUAAAUGCAUUUGUGCUAAGUUAUAGCAUUUUAUAGACAACUUGUUGACUAUGAUUUGUCUUGUAGCUUACUCGCUUAUGUUAUUUUACCUACGCUUAGGAUGUUGAUCUACAGAGCGAGAGU